rnacentral:rRNA from 1 species
AGUCACGCUGUAAACGAUGUCGAUUUGGAGUUUGGGGGCAUGACCCUUGGGCUCGGAGCUAACGCGUUAAAUCGACCGCCUGGGGAGUACGGCCGCAAGGUUAAAACUCAAAUGAAUUGACGGGGGCCCGCACAAGCGGUGGAGCAUGUGGUUUAAUUCGAUGCAACGCGAAGAACCUUACCUGGUCUUGACAUCCAUAGAAUCUUUCAGAGAUGAGAGAGUGCCUUCGGGAGCUAUGAGACAGGUGCUGCAUGGCUGUCGUCAGCUCGUGUUGUGAAAUGUUGGGUUAAGUCCCGCAACGAGCGCAACCCCUAUCCUUUGUUGCCAGCACGUAAUGGUGGGAACUCAAAGGAGACUGCCGUUGAUAAAGCGGAGGAAGGUGGGGACGACGUCAAGUCAUCAUGGCCCUUACGACCAGGGCUACACACGUGCUACAAUGGCGUAUACAAAGGGAUGCGAAGGUGCGAACUGGAGCGGACCUCACAAAGUACGUCUAAGUCCGGAUUGGAGUCUGCAACUCGACUCCAUGAAGUCGGAAUCGCUAGUAAUCGUGAAUCAGAAUGUCACGGUGAAUACGUUCCCGGGCCUUGUACACACCGCCCGUCACACCAUGGGAGUGGGUUGCACCAGAAGUAGAUAGCUUAACCUUCGGGAGGGCGUUUACCACGGUGUGGUUCAUGACUGGGGUGAAGUCGUAACAAGGUAACCA